AGCACAGCAGCGCCGCCUGGAGUGUGGUGGCGACGAGGUGGACAUACGCAGUUCGUACCCGAGAGAGAGAGAGAGGAAGAGCGAGCGAGCGAGCGAGCCAGCCAGUGACCUUGAAAUACCUGCCUUCAACACCUGGGCACAUUACGGUUGUGUGAAGGGAGCGUGGGGCAUCCAAUCACCUGUGGCCUCCGCUGCUCUACCCUACCCUGCCCUCAGUGCCCCUGUCCUGCCCUGCCCUGUUGUGAUGCCGCCCGACCCCCUCCACAUCCCAGUGGUAGGCCUGGCGUGUAGGGGAGGGAGAUGUGGAAGCUCACGUGGUUCAGGCAAGUGUUUAUGUAACAUUCCCUGCACCAAGCAUGGAGGCACAGCCAGCAUCAACACUGUGCUGCACCAACAAGCCAGAGCAGCGCCUCACUCCCCUUGCUCCUCUUCGGUGGAGUUCCCUUCAGUGGGCGACUCGCUCUCAGAAUUAGACUGCAGCUCCAGCCCCUCUGUCUCCAGGCCCUCACCCUGCACUGCUGCUGUUGGAAUAGAAGUUGGUCACACCCAAACAUACACACAUGGUAGCAGACUGAUGAACUGACAACCUCGGAAGCCAUCUUUAUUCUAUUGAAUUCCUUACACAACCAAGUUUAAUAACCAGUUGCUAAUAAAUGUUGAACUAACUUACUUCUCUCCGCCAGAGUCUUCUCAAUGAGGCGUGACAUGAUGUCCCUGCAAGUUGCCUCAACACCCGCCGGCAGCCAGCCAUACUUCUCUGAGCACACCUUGUUGGCGCCCGUCAGAAUGGCUUCCUCCAGCAGCUUCUGGAUCUCAGGCACCUGAAUGUCACAGUACUGCGAGAGAAGUAACAGUUUGUUUGUUACAUGUCACUUCAUUUAAAGUUUGCAAGACAAAGCUUUCCUGAUUUAUUUUAAGAGUUGGUCAAGCUAGAUAGAUACCACACCACACUAGCUUACAGUAUUUUUGUGGACAGCAUACUACAUAAAAUGUCCAUAUUCUCUGUCUGGCACAGGUUUUGAAUCAAGGUUCUCUUAAUAGCAAUAACUUGUACACCAGUGAGCUGCUUAGAGAAAGCUAUGUGUAAGUUAUGACAGGACUUGUUAAUACUGUUUUCUCAAACUUGGUAACAUUGAAUGAGUAAUUACUUAUCAUCAGAAACAACCUGUACUUUUAAAAGCAAUCUUCUAAAAUGAUAAGCAUUAUUUUCUUGUCAUCUUGUGGGUAGGUAGCUUUAAGAAAUGUGGUCAUGGAGGAACUAGAAAGGUUGCCAAUGAUAUAUAUGUAUGGUGAAGAGAGCAUAGAGUAGAGUGGAAAUCCAACAGGAAAUUUUAAAGUGAACAUGUCAACGCUUUGGAAGAGAGGAAACUGCAGUAAGUGGUGUAGGAGUUGUACAGUAGAGUGGAUGGAUGUUUUGACAGGAAAUUUUUAAGUGAACUUGAAAACGUUAUGGGAGAGGAAACAGCAACAAAGUGGUGCAGAGGUUUGUGUUCUUAGUCUACAACUUCAAGCACCAGUGUUUAGAUAUCAUGCCAGACAAAGACAAUUUUGCCAUACCACCUUUCGAAAAUAUUGUAUGCCACCUACUGUGACCCAUAUGAAAUAAUUAAAAGUCCAAGAGAACAUCACAUAGACCAGAGAAUGGAUGCAAAAUAUGGGAAGAAUAUUUUAAAGGAAUGUGCAUAAUAGAAGAGAGUAAGGAGCCUAAGUUUGUCAUUUCUAACUAAGGACUAUAUGUUAUACCAGAGUUGCAUUAUUCAUCGCAAAGUAGGGGGAUGUAAACAAAGGCUCCUACAGAAAUUUAGAUCAGUGUGCAGUACAAGGUUUGAAAGUGAGUGACAAAUUAUUAACAGCCUAUGAAGCAUUUUCAACAAUAUUAAAUUAAUUCUUCUUCCACAGGGGAUGAUAGCAAGAACGAACAGCAGAGGGGAAAAAUUCUAGGUUAGAAAGGUAAUUGGCAACCAGAACCUCUAAAGUGUAUGGAAGAGGCAAUACCAUGAAAAGAUAGAUAAUAAACUGAGAGAUCAAAGAGAAGACAGGCAAUGAGAUGGAGAGAUGGAGCAAGGAUGGGAGACACAGAGGAAGAAGCAAAGGAAAAAAUAACUUUACAAAACUCUUAUAUGAGUCACAAAGGAAGAUGCAAUGGAGAAAAUAAGACUCAUACAUGACAACAUCCCAUGGCUGUAAGGGAAUGAAAAAAGGCCACCUAUCACCGAGAGAAAAGGUAACAGAAGGAGUCACAGAAAAAGAUGAAUGACACAACUGAAGAAGACUCAUAUGGUACCAGUCCCUCUUAAUCAAGGAAAGCAAGCAAACAAGCAAGAACCAUCAUUAAAGAAGUAAUACAACACAGAUGGAUAAGUAACAAGCAAGAAAAAGAUAUGGCACCAGUCCCUAUGAAUCAAGGAAAGUAAGCAAGAACCAUCAUCAAGGAAGUAAUACAACAGAGAUGGAUAGCAAACAAGAAAGUGACGAGACAACAGCCACUCUCGCAUUGCCUUCUAGCAAACACCAAGACAACCACAGCUCAGCACCUGGUAGAACAUCUGCCUGUAGGGAGGGAUCAUGCCAGGCCUAAAGAUGUACAGGUCCUCAUUGUUCUUCUCAGCACUGCUGGAGCACUCCUCACUGCCGUCCUCACCUGACUCCCCAAGAUGCAGGGACUGGAUCACCGAGGUCUGGGGUGGUGAGGGAGAGAGAAUUUGUUUGAUGAGAUAUUGUGGUAUAUAUAUGGUUUUAUACUGUAGAUCAGAGAGAGAUGUCUGGCUGCCUCUUUUUGUUUUACAAUGUGAGCUUUUCAUGCAAAUUUUAUGGGCUCAAGGAAGUACUUUUUGGGUACCUCCUAGGGAACCAUUACCCCAAGCAAGGAAGCCCUUUCUUUCUACACUCAGACCGUGCAAGAGUUCAAACCAGUGCACUUGGGGACUUCUCGGACACCAAGGUGUGCAUGGUUCCCCUGUGCCAUGGUGGCCUCUUGUGUCCAUCUCAGCUCCCUCUCUGAACCCAAAUAUAAUCACACACACACAGAGAUCAAUGAAGUGAAGCAUUUUAAAAUCCUAGUCUUGAAAUGCCAACAAAUUAACAAUAUUGUUGGGUUGAUAAACUUUGAUGUCUGUAUCCUCACUGGCUAAUCUGAGCAGCGAUUCACUCACUUUCCUCCUUGAUGUGUUGGCACUCUUGUAUGGUAACACAUAGUUUGAGUAACUCCUCUUGGCCUCCACUUUAGUCUUCACACCUCCUGCAACACACAAGAAUAACAACAUUGAUGGAACUUUAGUAUUCACAUAUCAAAGUAUUUCACUAACACUAAGUAAGAUCUUACAUACAAACUUAGUCUAGCCUUUACAGACAGAGGAAAACAUCACCUUAAACUUACACAAAUUCUCAAAAGACACGUAUGGUUAACUUCUGAAGAGCAAGAAAUUAAAUGAAAUGUACCAUACUUCUGAAGAGCAAGAAAUUAAAUUAAAUGUAACUCACAAAAACCAUGAAUAACAAUGCAUUUCCUGGAAGAGACCCUAUACUUAUACAAUCCAGCUCUACAAGUGACUUCACAAAAGUAAAUUUUGAGUCAAGGAACAAAGAUGCCUUGUUUUUAGCAAAGAGGAAAAGUCAGCAGUUAGUGUGGAGCAACAGACCAGCCUGGCGGAUGCGGAAAUCAAAAGUCUGGUAGAUCCAGGCCUUGGGAUCCUUGCGUGGAUCAUAGCCCAGCUGCACCCACAAGUUCCUCCACGGCCCAGUGUGGAAGUAGUAGGACAUGGUGGGCAGCAGGUACUGUGUGGGAAAUGUGAGGAUAAGCUUAUCUUGUUGUGAACAAUACAUCUGAUGUAUAUUGUUUUUGUAUUUAGAUGCUUUGCUCUCACCACAACUAUUUAGAUGCUUUGCUCUCACCACAACUGUUCUCCAAAGCUAUAGAAAUAAUUGUUUUGAAUUCUUGAGAGCAUUUCUCCAGUUAAUAAAUAAUAUAGUCAUCCUAUUUAUGUCACUACUUUCAAAAAGCCGUGUUUUCAUGUUUCUGAUGACAUGAACAAAUUAUCUGCAUUAUAUUAUCAAGGUUAACACUUGAGAACCUGGCAGGCUCUCAUCUCUUCACCUUUAGAAAAUGGUCAUGGCAACAUUAAACAAGUUUUGAAAGGUGCUGGUGUUAAUGUUGCCAUGACCAUUUUCAAGAGCUAAAGAGAUGAGAACCUGCCAGGUUCUCAAGUCUUUCUCCUGAUAAUCUAAUGCAUAUAAUUUGUUAAUGUCACAGCUUUUUGAAAGUAGUGAAACGUUUCAGAAUUUGGUCCUCUGAGGAGAUUUGUGAUGAUGACAAUGUAGUGAAACAUCACAGUUCACUCUUGGAAAACAGGAAUACCAUUAUUUUGAGAGGACACUGCUACCUACAUAAAUCUGGACAUGACCAUAUCCAAUAAAUAAGGCAGCUUU